rnacentral:piRNA from 1 species
UGGAAGUUUCUGGAGUUGCUGGA